UUGUUUCUUUGUUACAUGAACAAGGAACUUGAGAAGAAAGCACAAAGGCAUGGACACUUAAAGUGCCAUGAUUCUUCACUUACAAAUUGUUGUAUGAAGAAAUGAGAGUUGCCUUGUACAACUCUUGAAAGUUUGUAAUUAUGUUUAGAACAUAAUGGUUGGUUGACAAAAAUAGUCCAUUAACAUGGACUUAUGAUGAUUUUGAAUCAUUGAGUGUUGAAGUGAUUAAAUCACUUAACGAGACGGAAACUAGGCAAGGACUUCACCUUUGUUUCCCUAUCCUAAUGGUUCACUAAGUUUAUUGUAAACUAUGUAGUGAACAAUAAACCACAUGCUCUCCAAAAUGUUUGAUGUGUAUAACACAAUUGAAAAAGGUUUCAAGAGAGAUAGUGGGAGUUUAGGGACCAUGACUAUUGUAGUCAAAGGAGAAGUCAAAUGAAGAAGAUAAAUAACUCCAAGGGAACAAACUUUCUUUAUGAAAGGAUGGACAUUGGAAGGGGUAUUUGCAAGAA
rnacentral:lncRNA from 1 species